rnacentral:rRNA from 1 species
AUUGAACGCUGGCGGCAUGCCGUACACAUGCAAGUCGAACGGUAACGGGCCUUCGGGUGCCGACGAGUGGCGAACGGGCGAGUAAUACAUCGGAACGUGCCCGAUCGUGGGGGAUAACGAGGCGAAAGCUUUGCUAAUACCGCAUACGAUCUACGGAUGAAAGCAGGGGACCGCAAGGCCUUGCGCGGACGGAGCGGCCGAUGGCAGAUUAGGUAGUGGGUGGGAUAAAAGCUUACCAAGCCGACGAUCUGUAGCUGGUCUGAGAGGAUGAUCAGCCACACUGGGACUGAGACACGGCCCAGAGUCCUACGGGAGGCAGCAGUGGGGAAUUUUGGACAAUGGGCGCAAGCCUGAUCCAGCCAUGCCGCGUGCAGGAUGAAGGCCUUCGGGUUGUAAACUGCUUUUGUACGGAACGAAAAGCCUUCUUUUAAUACAGGAGGGUCAUGACGGUACCGUAAGAAUAAGCACCGGCUAACUACGUG